UCCCUCGUGGCGCAAUUGGCUAGCGCGUUCGACUGUUACUAAGUUCCAUCGAGAGGUUGGUGGUUCGAGCCCACCCGAGGGAG
rnacentral:tRNA from 1 species